GUGGCGACCGGGUGAGUAACACGUGACUAACCUGCCCUAGAGUGGGGGAUAACCUCGGGAAACCGGGGCUAAUACCGCAUAACAUCACGAGGGGAAGAUCCUUGUGAUCAAAGGAGCAAUUCGCUCAAGGAGGGGGUCGCGGCUGAUUAGCCAGUUGGUGAGGUAACGGCUCACCAAAGCAAAGAUCAGUAGCCGGCCUGAGAGGGCGCACGGCCACACUGGAACUGAAACACGGUCCAGACUCCUACGGGAGGCAGCAGUGGGGAAUUUUGCGCAAUGGGGGAAACCCUGACGCAGCAACGCCGCGUGGAGGAUGAAGUCCCUUGGGAUGUAAACUCCUUUCGAUCGGGACGAUUAUGACGGUACCGGAAGAAGAAGCACCGGCUAACCCUGUGCCAGCAGCCGCGGUAAUACAGAGGGUGCAAGCGUUGUUCGGAAUUAUUGGGCGUAAAGGGCGCGUAGGCGGUGCGGUAAGACUGUGGUGAAAUCUCCGGGCUCAACUCGGAAAUUGCCGCGGUGACUGCCGUGCUGGAGUGUGGGAGAGGUGAGUGGAAUUCCCGGUGUAGCGGUGAAAUGCGUAGAUAUCGGGAGGAACACCUGUGGCGAAAGCGGCUCACUGGACCACAACUGACGCUGAGGCGCGAAAGCUAGGGGAGCAAACAGGAUUAGAUACCCUGGUAGUCCUAGCCCUAAACGAUGAUUGCUUGGUGUGUCGGGUACCCAAUCCCGACGUGCCGCAGCUAACGCGAUAAGCAAUCCGCCUGGGGAGUACGGUCGCAAGACUGAAACUCAAAGGAAUUGACGGGGGCCCGCACAAGCGGU
rnacentral:rRNA from 1 species